ACGCCGUGUUAUACGUACGACGUGAAGCUCAUCAGAGCCCACAAAAGGUGUUGGUUGAUAUAGACAGCAGGACGGUGGCCAUGGAAGUCGGAAACCGCUAAGGAGUGUGUAACAACUCACCUGCCGAAUCAAUCAGCCCUGAAAAUGGAUGGCGCUGGAGCGUCGGGCCUAUACCCGGCCGUCGAAAACUGGGCGUGAGUUUAACG
rnacentral:ncRNA from 1 species